rnacentral:rRNA from 1 species
GACGUAGGGCGCGAGCGUUGUCCGGAUUUAUUGGGCGUAAAGAGCUCGUAGGCGGCUUGUUGCGUCAGCUGUGAAAAACCCGCAGCUCAACUGUGGGCUUGCAGCUGAUAACGGGCAGGCUUGAGUUCGGUAGGGAGGACUGGAAUUCCUGUGUAGCGGUGAAAUGCGCAGAUAUCAAGGAGGAACACCGGUGGCGAAGGCGGGUCUCUUGGGCCG